AGAAGAUGAAUACUCCAUGCGACCACAUCCCCGGUUGAGUUGCAAAGAGGAUAUGUGCCUCGGGGUAUAGAUGAGAGAGAAUUAGUAUCAGCAAUAGAUGAUGUUCAAACCAUUGCAAAUCGUGGCUUGGAAUUGGCUCGAGCAGGUACAUAUCCCGAAGCACAGAAACAUGCAUCAAUAUAUCAGUCGAUAAUGCAGAGGCUUCACCAAGCCUUACAUCGAACUCAUGAAGACCUUCACGAUGGACGAGAGGUAGC